GGUCCCGCCUGCCCAGUGACUCUUUAAAACGGCCGCGGUAUCCUAACCGUGCAAAGGUAGCAUAAUCACUUGUCCCUUAAAUCGGGACUGGAAUGAACGGCUAAAUGAGGACUAAACUGUCUCUUACAGGCUAGCCAAUGAAAUUGAUUUUCCAGUACAAAAGCUGGAAUAUAACCACAAGACGAGAAGACCCUGUGGAGCUUACAAACCAAAUUCACCAAACAUGUCUUUAUCGGUUUUCAGUUGGGGCGACUUUGGAGUAAAAAACAACCUCCAAACACCAAACUAAUUAAGAACAACAUAUCAAAAUAUAUCUGUAAUGACCCAGCAGCCCUGUGGUUGUCUGAUUAAUGAACCAAGUUACCCCAGGGAAUAACAGCGCCAUCCCCUUCUAGAGUCCCUAUCGACAAGGGGGUUUACGACCUCGAUGUUGGAUCAGGACACCCCAAUGGUGCAGCCGCCAUUAACG
rnacentral:rRNA from 1 species